rnacentral:rRNA from 1 species
UACAGAGGUCUCAAGCGUUGUUCGGAUUCAUUGGGCGUAAAGGGUGCGUAGGCGGCGCGGUAAGUCGGGUGUGAAAUCUCGGAGCUUAACUCCGAAACUGCAUUCGAUACUGCCGUGCUUGAGGACUGUAGAGGCAGAUGGAAUUCCGGGCGUAGCGGUGGAAUGCGUAGAGAUCCGGAAGAACACCGGUGGCGAAGGCGGGCUGCUGGGCAGUAGCUGACACUGAGGCGCGACAGCGUGGGGAGCAAACAGG